AUUGAACGCUGGCGGCAGGCCUAACACAUGCAAGUCGAGCGGAUGAGUGGAGCUUGCUCCAUGAUUCAGCGGCGGACGGGUGAGUAAUGCCUAGGAAUCUGCCUGGUAGUGGGGGACAACGUUUCGGAAGGAACGCUAAUACCGCAUACGCCCUACGGGAGAAAGCAGGGGACCUUCGGGCCUUGCGCUAUCAGAUGAGCCUAGGUCGGAUUAGCCAGUAGGUGAGGUAAUGGCUCACCUAGGCGACGAUCCGUAACUGGUCUGAGAGGAUGAUCAGUCACACUGGAACUGAGACACGGUCCAGACUCCUACGGGAGGCAGCAGUGGGGAAUAUUGGACAAUGGGCGAAAGCCUGAUCCAGCCAUGCCGCGUGUGUGAAGAAGGUCUUCGGACUGUAAAGCACUUUAAGUUGGGAGGAAGGGCAGUAAGUUAAUACCUUGCUGUUUUGACGUUACCAACAGAAUAAGCAUCGGCUAACUUCGUGCCAGCAGCCGCAGUAAGAC
rnacentral:rRNA from 1 species